GGGGUUGUGGCUCAGCGAUGGAGUGCUCGCCUCACACAUGGGAGACCCUGGGUUCAAUCCUCAGCACCACA
rnacentral:tRNA from 1 species